rnacentral:rRNA from 1 species
GUAAUGCCGGAUGCUCCGACUCCUCGCAUGGGGUGUCGGGAAAGAUUUCAUCGGUAUGGGAUGGGGUCGCGUCCUAUCAGGUAGUCGGCGGGGUAACGGCCCACCGAGCCUACGACGGGUAGCCGGCCUGAGAGGGCGACCGGCCACAUUGGGACUGAGAUACGGCCCAGACUCCUACGGGAGGCAGCAGUGGGGAAUAUUGCACAAUGGGCGCAAGCCUGAUGCAGCGACGCCGCGUGCGGGAUGACGGCCUUCGGGUUGUAAACCGCUUUUGAUCGGGAGCAAGCCUUCGGGUGAGUGUACCUUUCGAAUAAGCACCGGCUAACUACGUGCCAGCAGCCGCGGUAAUACGUAGGGUGCAAGCGUUAUCCGGAAUUAUUGGGCGUAAAGGGCUCGUAGGCGGUUCGUCGCGUCCGGUGUGAAAGUCCAUCGCUUAACGGUGGAUCUGCGCCGGGUACGGGCGGGCUGGAGUGCGGUAGGGGAGACUGGAAUUCCCGGUGUAACGGUGGAAUGUGUAGAUAUCGAGAA